AAUUCAGAUGAUGAGAUUGGAUCUAAAAUUCUCACGACGGUCGUCUGAUUCUAGUGAUGAACCAAUCCUUAUAUGCUCUGAUGAUA
rfam:Brassica rapa chromosome A7, whole genome shotgun sequence.